UUGGGCUCUUUGGACUCAAGCUGCUGGACAGGCAGGGCAUGAUUCAGUUACCUACACACUGGCAUUGGCUGCCUCUUGAUUUAGUACAUAAGGUGCUUUCCCACCUGAUUUAAAUCUGUCAUGGGGGUAACAAAACGCUCAUACCUGAAAGGAGCUUGUUUGGCAUGGAUGGAGUUUUCAGGAUUGAGUAAGCUCGCCAUCAUGUAGCCUUUCCCAGGUUUGCUUCAGAACCUUCCUCCCAGCUCAUGUCAGAAAAGGCUCAGAUGUUCCUUGGAGCCUUGCCAGAGAGGGUAGAGGCUGAUGUGAGGGAAUCAGCUUUCCAGCCUACUGCCUUUCUUCCUGGAUGAGCAAUUUAUCUCAAAGCACUCCACCUCCUCUGAACACCUCUCACCCAGGCGGGCAGCAUUCCCUGACAGAACAGCUCAGUAGUUUUCUGAUGAGUUUGCAAAGUGCUUGGCUUUGUGCUCCAGCUGGUCCAGCUUAGCACUCAGGAGUUCUAGGAAAAGCACAGAGCCAUGGUGCUGCCUAAGUGGUUGGGGCCAGAACAGAGCCAGGAGAUGGGUCCCAUAGGUCCCACAAAGCAACCAGAGGAGCCGGGUUCUGUAUCCAACUCAGGCUAAGCUUGGUCAGAAGAUAAGGAGAUGUUCAGAAGACAAGGCAAGAGCCUGGACAGAAGAGAGGAAUUCAAGGAACCUGUAGAAGAAAGACUGUAUGCCUUGUAAGAAGCCACUUUGUCUUGCAAACCAAGGAGUUCCUUCAGCUCCCUGCUGCUGUCCUGCCGCUGCUGUGCCCCAGCACUGAGACUCAGCAUCCUCAGCACCAGGAGGAGAGACCAGGGCUGGCAGAUACACACCCAGAACUGCUGCAGGUGAGUCCAGCAAAUGACAUCUAUGGAAUCUGUGUAUCCUGAUCAGUGCUAUAACAGCACAGGUUUUGGGUUGUUUUUUUUUAACUGUCUCAUGCAUUUGGUUUUUCUCUAUGAGGGCAAUAUGUAUGUGAGAACUUCACUUCCAGGAGCUAGCAGAAUUUUUCCCCAGAUGGAAGUUCCUUGGUCAGUAACUGGGGCAGAGCCAGAAAGGUAUUAACCAUGCAGGAGCAGGAGGAAGUUUCCUUGCUGAGAAGGUUCCUUCAAACCCGUCAGCACAAAAGCCACCAGCUUCACCUCUGACCUCUCUAACCUUUAUCAAAUUUUCCAUCUGUGGCUGUUGCCUACAGAGCCAUUUUCAAGACUCUCUACGACUUGUUUUUUCCCCAAGAAUUACACUAACAAACUUGAUAAAUUUGAAAUUAUCAGUAGACUUAAAGACUUUGGGAGGUUAGUGUUUUGCUAAAAAAUCAGUGAAUAUGUGUUAAAGGGGAUUCUGGAAACUUUUCAGAAACUUAGCUGGUUUAAUUAUGAAAAAAUUACAUUUAACCAACACUUACAUAAAUCUGCAGACUUUGGACUACUUGUAUCUGACAGAGCUUUACAAAUAAGCUACAAUCAAUUCACAUGACAUUCUUUGUAACUACAGUUUGAAAUUGUCUAAGAAUAUGAAAUUAACUGAAAAAGCAGCCUUUUGUGCAUAAUGCUAAAAAAAAAUUAGCACUUUCCUCA